GACAGAGGGUGCAAACGUUGCUCGGAAUCACUGGGCGUAAAGGGCGUGUAGGCGGGAAGGUAAGUCGGGUGUGAAAUCCCUGGGCUCAACCCAGGAACUGCACUCGAAACUACUUUUCUUGAGUGCCGGAGAGGAAAGCGGAAUUCCUGGUGUAGAGGUGAAAUUCGUAGAUAUCAGGAGGAACACCAGUGGCGAAGGCGGGUUUCUGGACGGUAACUGACGCUGAGACGCGAAAGCGUGGGGAGCGAACAGG
rnacentral:rRNA from 1 species